GCUCAGGUCAUGAUCUCGCGGUUUAGGAGUGCAUGCCCCGCGUCAGGUUGUGUGCUGACGACAGCUCAGAGCCUGGAGCCUGCUUCGGAUUCUGUGUCUCCCUCUCUCUCUGCCCCUCCCUGCUCAUGCUCUGUCUCUC